GGGGAAGUAGCUCAGUGGUAGAGCUCCCACUUCGUAUGCAGGGAGACCCGUGUUCAAUCCCCGGCUGCUUCC
rnacentral:tRNA from 1 species